UUGAAUAAAUCUGAUGUGGUUGUAGCUGGCUCCCUUAAAGAGCAUGUGCACACCCGUCACCUUUAUCUUUCCACCUGUGCACACACUGUAGUCCUGGAUACCUCUCGCUGCAAGGCGGAUGCAGAGGCUGCUGUUCUUUCGAAAGAAGGUCAGCUUUCUCUGAAUUUCCAGGUCUACGAACUUUAUACACCCCAACGAAUGUUAUAGAAUGUAAUCUUUAUCAAGCCUUUGUGCUUAUAAAACCUAUA
rnacentral:misc_RNA from 1 species